rnacentral:rRNA from 1 species
GUUUCCUACGGGAGGCAGCAGUGAGGAAUAUUGGUCAAUGGGGGAAACCCUGACGCAGCAACGCCGCGUGCGGGAUGAAGGCUUUCGGGUUGUAAACCGCUUUCAGCAGGGAAGAUAAUGACGGUACCUGCAGAAGAAGCCCCGGCUAACUACGUGCCAGCAGCCGCGGUAAUACGUAGGGGGCAAGCGUUAUCCGGAUUCAUUGGGCGUAAAGCGCGCGCAGGCGGGCCGCUAAGCGGGACCUCUAAUCUUGGGGCUCAACCUCAAGCCGGGUCCCGAACUGGCAGCCCCGAG